rnacentral:tRNA from 1 species
GGGGCUGUAGCACAGUGGUAGAGCACUUGCCUUGCAUGUGUGAGGCCCUGGGUUCAAGCCCCAGCACCA